rnacentral:rRNA from 1 species
GACGAACGCUGGCGGCGUGCUUAACACAUGCAAGUCGAACGAUGAAGCCUAGCUUGCUAGGUGGAUUAGUGGCGAACGGGUGAGUAAUACGUGAGUGACCUACCUUUGACUCUGGGAUAAGCUGGGAAACUGGGUCUAAUACCGGAUACGACCAAUCUCCGCAUGGGGUGUUGGUGGAAAGCGUUAUGGAGUGGUUUUAGAUGGGCUCACGGCCUAUCAGCUUGUUGGUGAGGUAAUGGCUUACCAAGGCGACGACGGGUAGCCGGCCUGAGAGGGUGACCGGCCACACUGGGACUGAGACACGGCCCAGACUCCUACGGGAGGCAGCAGUGGGGAAUAUUGCACAAUGGGCGCAAGCCUGAUGCAGCGACGCCGCGUGAGGGAUGACGGCCUUUCGGGUUGUAAACCUCUGUUAGCAUCGAAGAAGCGAAAGUGACGGUAGGUGCAGAGAAAGCGUCGGCUAACUAC